AUUCAAUGAUGGGGACUUUCUAGGAUGUAGUCUUGGAAGCGCUCCCAUGCUUCUAGAAUAGAUUCAUCAUGUUUUUGUUUAAAACUUGUAAUUUUCCCACGGAGAGC
rfam:Sorghum bicolor cultivar BTx623 chromosome 5, whole genome shotgun sequence.